GAUGAACGCUAGCUACAGGCUUAACACAUGCAAGUCGAGGGGCAGCAUGAACUUAGCUUGCUAAGUUUGAUGGCGACCGGCGCACGGGUGAGUAACACGUAUCCAACCUGCCGAUGACUCGGGGAUAGCCUUUCGAAAGAAAGAUUAAUACCCGAUGGCAUAGUUCUUCCGCAUGGUAGAACUAUUAAAGAAUUUCGGUCAUCGAUGGGGAUGCGUUCCAUUAGGUUGUUGGCGGGGUAACGGCCCACCAAGCCUUCGAUGGAUAGGGGUUCUGAGAGGAAGGUCCCCCACAUUGGAACUGAGACACGGUCCAAACUCCUACGGGAGGCAGCAGUGAGGAAUAUUGGUCAAUGGACGAGAGUCUGAACCAGCCAAGUAGCGUGAAGGAUGACUGCCCUAUGGGUUGUAAACUUCUUUUAUACGGGAAUAAAGUGAGGCACGUGUGCCUUUUUGUAUGUACCGUAUGAAUAAGGAUCGGCUAACUCCGUGCCAGCAGCCGCGGUAAUACGGAGGAUCCGAGCGUUAUCCGGAUUUAUUGGGUUUAAAGGGAGCGUAGGCGGACGCUUAAGUCAGUUGUGAAAGUUUGCGGCUCAACCGUAAAAUUGCAGUUGAUACUGGGUGUCUUGAGUACAGUAGAGGCAGGCGGAAUUCGUGGUGUAGCGGUGAAAUGCUUAGAUAUCACGAAGAACUCCGAUUGCGAAGGCAGCUUGCUGGACU
rnacentral:rRNA from 1 species